GAAACUUGCUGGACCUUUGAAAGUCACGAUAAAGUCUUUAAAAUUAUUUCAGGUGAAAAUUUGCAGUCAUCCCGAAUAAGCAGUAGAAGAAUAUACAUCUACAGAAUAAAAUUUGGAGCAGCAUCCUCUUUCUGAGUGAGACCUGAACCAGGCACUCUCUGGAGUCCUUCACUACUGCUCGGCUGGCUGGGUAGCAGCUGAUGGAGGAGUGUUCUUCCUGGCCAGCCACUGUGCUGUUUGUCCUGCACUCCCAGCAGAGAAUGAGAGACCAAGGAUGUUCUCUGUGUCCUGUGGAGCACAGCUGCACUGCUGAAUGAAGGUUCCAUUGCUUGCAUCAUUCCUCUGUGCUCCCGCAGUUGAUAUUCUCCACAGGACAGUUCUUCAAACUGUUUGUUACAGCCCCCAACAAGUUUCCAGUGGAUCACAGGAGCUGUGAAUUUUUAGACUCUU